rnacentral:rRNA from 1 species
GACGAACGCUGGCGGCGUGCUUAACACAUGCAAGUCGAACGGAAAGGCCCUGCUUUUGUGGGGUGCUCGAGUGGCGAACGGGUGAGUAACACGUGAGUAACCUGCCCUUGACUUUGGGAUAACUUCAGGAAACUGGGGCUAAUACCGGAUAGGAGCUCCUGCUGCAUGGGGGGGGUGGGAAAGUUUCGGCGGUUGGGGAUGGACUCGCGGCUUAUCCGCUUGUUGGUGGGGUAGUGGCUUACCAAGGCUUUGACGGGUAGCCGGCCUGAGAGGGUGACCGGCCACAUUGGGACUGAGAUACGGCCCAGACUCCUACGGGAGGCAGCAGUGGGGAAUAUUGCACAAUGGGCGGAAGCCUGAUGCAGCACCGCCGCGUGCGGGAUGACGUCCUUCGGGUUGUAAACCGCUUUCGCCUGUGACGAAGCGUGCGUGACGGUAAUGGGUAAAGAAGCACCGGCUAACUACGUG